rnacentral:rRNA from 1 species
CGAACGGGUGAGUAACGCGUGAGGAACCUGCCUCAAAGAGGGGGACAACAGUUGGAAACGACUGCUAAUACCGCAUAAGCCCACGGGUCGGCAUCGACCUGAGGGAAAAAGGAGCAAUCCGCUUUGAGAUGGCCUCGCGUCCGAUUAGCUAGUUGGUGAGGUAACGGCCCACCAAGGCGACGAUCAGUAGCCGACCUGAGAGGGUGACCGGCCACAUUGGGACUGAGACACGGCCCAG